rnacentral:lncRNA from 1 species
AGACACUUCUGUAUCCUUCCAGGGUGAAGCGUGGAGCACAGUGAAGAAAUACAUGAAGGAAUGUGAUACAAAUACAAAUGAGGAGCCAGUGUCCUGGGCUAAACACAAGAGUGCUGAUUCCCACUGUAAGUUAUGGUGAAGAACUUCUGCUAUCUGAGGGCAUGUGUUUUCAUCUUCAAAAAAGGAUGGACAGUCCCCAUGAACCUUCCCUCUCCAACCACACAGGCCUUGCUUCUGGACAUGCAGUGAUAACUCUCUGUUUGCUGGAUGAAGAUCAUGUUGGCUCUAUGCACAUUCAGAUAACCUUCUACACCAGACACCCCUGGUGAUUGCUCUAUAAAUCAUAUUGGCCAGGAGAAAGGACGUUCAGUUCCCUAGGCUUUUCAUCAUGGUCAAUUAGGGAAUCAGCCCAAAAGGUCAGCAUCACUGCCCUUAAAUGAGGUCACACUCCAUGCACUCUGAGUACCCCGGAAAGCUGUGGUGCUGGUGAUAAAUGCAUGUGUCCAGACACCUGGUUUCAACGAGGCAAAUCCC